rnacentral:rRNA from 1 species
GACAGAGGCCUCAAGCGUUAGGCGGAAUCACUGGGCUUAAAGGCGUGUGUAGGCGGAUCGUUAAGUGCCUUGUGAAAUCCCAACGGCUUAACUGUGGAACGGCUGGGCAUACUGGCGGUCUUGAGCCAUCUAGGGGCGACUGGAACAAACGGUGGAGCGGUGAAAUGCGUAGAUAUCGUUGGAACGCCAAUGGUGAAAACAGGUCGCUGGGGAUGAGCUGACGCUGAGACACGAAAGCCAGGGGAGCAAACGGG